ensembl:lncRNA
CCUGAGCUCCGCAAGGCUGCUGCUGAUCUAAGUGCAAUCUCUGCUAAUCACUGCAGCCUGCGGGUGAUUGACUUCAGGCACUUCCAGAGGCCGUGGUCAAAGCUGACCGCAGGGCAUGUGGAGAUGAGCUCCAGCUGGGUUUGGCCCUACAGCUCAGAAAGAUCAGCUGGAAAAUACAAGCUGUAGCCAACAGACUGAAGGAAGAGCUGGAAGGACCCAAUAAAAGUGAGCGUGAAGCAUAGAGAGAAAGGAUGCUUGAUGCUGGUGGGCAGGAGCUGAGGCAAGUAGGAGGGAACUGGGGGAUAUAAAGGAUUUUCCUGGAAAGAAGAUUCCCAGCACAUAAGAGGGUUUACAGAGCACGCUCUGAUGCUUCUUCCAAAAAAUUCCAUGCAGGCUGGGUGAGAUAUUUUGGACAGAGAAUGAUGCUGAGAAGACGCACCAUUGGCACCUUGGACCUGGGCAUCCCGGAGGCUCCAGAGCAGAGAGAUCUGUGCCAGCUCUGCAGGAACCUGGCUCAUACUUAAAAGUAGGAGCAGCCAUUCCCAUUGCUCUGGGUAACACGUGGUUUCCUCUCACGCUGCUGGUGGCACUCAGGUUGCCUGGAACUGGGGAAGAAUUAACAAAACACAGAAAUUGGAUGUUUAGCUUACUGACAAGGGCAAGUUGUGAUAUACUGCACUUUUCAAGUGUUUAUUCCCCUGGUCUCGUCUGCAAGCCAUGAAGGCAGGAAUCAUGCCAGUGCUCACCAAACAACAUCUGAAUUCUCCAUACAACUCUGCUUUGCUGUGGUGUUUAAUUACCCUCAGAAGUUGUUCCUGGGCGUGCAUGUGUGACUAAAACAGCUACCAUUAAAGACAAGUUCUGCAUUGCAUUACUGGACUAAUAUUGCUGAGAAUAAUGUGACCAGAAUAGCUACUCGUGCCUCAAGGCCAGAAAUGAUCCAUGCCAAGCCCACCUCCAUCCCUCCCCCUGUAUUGCCUCAUCUGUGCUGACAUUUCCUUGUGAAUAUUUAAGGUAUGUCUGUUCUCAUCUCUUGUUGAAAGUCAAAUGCAUGCACGCUACAGAGAACAACAGGCAGUUGCUAUUCAACCCAUACAAAGCUGACAUGCAGUGCACCAAUACAGCAAUUAUAUUUGCAAAAAUUUACUUCCUGGGGGCUGCUUUGGGGUGUGGAUGGUAUGACUCUCACUGAUAAUCCUUUAAAACUUUGCCAGGAAAGUGAACUCGAACACUGGAACCUGAUUACAGCUUUUCCUUAUUUAAGUAAUGUUUGAUGCCUGGAGGUGCCCAAGGCCACGGAUGGGGCUCUGGGCAGCCUGACCUGGUGGGGAGCACUCAGCCCAUGGCAGGGGUUGGAGUCAAUGAUCCCUAAGGUCUCUUCCAAUCUCAGCCACUCUGUGAUUCUUUAAGUACACUCACUCAGAAUACUCCUGGUUUAUCCACCUGAAUGUCAGCAAUAGAGCAGAAAACUGAGGGGAGCGUCACAUGGAGCAUCACCUUCAGCACUUCAAUCCACAGCACGUGACAUUCUUCACAUUUUCUGACAGCUCAAAAAGUUUGUGACCAAGAGGGAAAAACAGCAAAAAACGUAAUUUAAGACACAUUUAGUCAUCCUCAGCCCGUAUUUAGGCACCUACAUACAUUGCCCACUUUCCAGCUGGGACAGACAGGAUUACAGUGGCAGGGAGCUGAGCUCAGGCUUAGCAGGAUGCCCACACACUUCAGCAUCCCACACACUUAAUAUCCACGAUUGUAACAACAUAGCAACUAGUCUGUAAUUAGUACAGACAUUGCCAGAGAUGUCUUUGUAUUACUUAUGAGUCAUGCUACAAAAAUAUUCUUUAUUCAUUAUCCAAGCUCUUUUCAUUUCAGUGCCAGCCAUUACCGUGUUGCAGAGUACGUAGGUCUCUGUCAGGCUUGUCAAAGCCAAGUGCCUUCUGAUAGGGAUCUUUGCAUUUAACCUGACAAAGAUUUACUUUACAAAAGGGUGAGAUCAAAAGGGUUUCUUUCUGCACAGAAGAAGAAAGAAACACUUAAACAUGGCUCAAAGUGAGGGGUUUGCACUCCUUGUUGCUUCUCCAGCAGCCCAUCUAUGGCUGGAAGAACCUCUUUCAGACUUGGCUUAAAUUGUUCCGUCAGUUAAUUAAAUAUUUGUAUCUUAAUGUCUUUCUGGUUAACUAGUGAGGAGAAAAGGCUCGUGAAAAACUCAGACCGAAUAGGAAACUUUCCUUCAUCCUUUAUAUAAUAUACGGAACAGAAGAAGGAAAACGCAGCUGAAAUGUAUUAUGACAAGCAAAUAAAAGUAAUAUUGGAAAAUUCCUUCAGGCAGAUUCUGUUCUAGACCACUACUGUUUACUAAGAUUUUUUUAUUCACUGCAAUAUUAAAUCACUGGGCUGGAAAGUCCUUGGGUCAUUUCAAACCACUGUCUCAUUGAUUUCGUAUUCCUUAAGCAUCCUUAAUAUAGCACUGUCAUCGGAGCUGACGACAGCGAUCCCUAGAUCUCCCUUGGCAGUGGACUAAUUGUCUAAGUGCUCUUGCUGUUGGAGAGGAGCACUGACAGAUUAACUCAGACCCUGUAAGCAAAAAGGUAGGUUAAAAAAAGUCUGACAUAAUCAGAAAAGUUCCCAUAAAACACAGUAGGAAGCUGUUUCACAGUACAAUACAUCGUGAAAUUUCUUUUUCUUUCUUUCUUUUUUUCUUGAAUGUUACUAUUCUUUCCAGACAUAGCUGUAUUCUUCAAAGACUUUGUUUUACCACCAAGAGAGCAGACACUCUCUCUCCCUCAUCUGCACCAGAAUUGAAGCAUUUUUUCUGAGCCUUACGAGCCCAAGAAAAGGGAAUGAGCCAUUCCUGGCAUACAUUGGUGCACUGCUGGGUCACCAUAACAAGGUUUAUGAUGAUUUUGGGUCUUGAGAAAGGCCUGAAUUAUAGAGAGGAAAUCAAACUGUGGUUGUGGUCAAGAAAAAUCUUAGAAGUGUUCUAUUUAGCAAUCUAAUUGUUUCCCAGCUAGAAAGGAUAUAGCAGAAAUGGAGUACAGAAUGCUCUCCUGAAAAGAAAACUUCCAAGGCACAACUCUAGAAAUAAAAUUAAAUUUCUAUUUUUAAGAUGAAUCUAAAUCUACAUUUUCUCAUGACAGCUCUCUUCUUCCUUUCAAUAAAAUCCCUGUCUGCAUCUGUGGCUGAAAGCACAAAAGCUCAGCACUGAGAUGUACCUACUGCCUUUAAGGAUAAAUCAAACCAACUCUGCGCCGUCGCUUCCUGUAAGCAUUACAGCCCCAGAGAAAUGCACCCUCACCGUUACGAGGGAAGACACCCUCUGCCUCUCCCACACCAAAUCCCAGCAGCAGUGCUUUGCCAAAGAGCCAAAAAGACCAAGUGCUGAGCUGCACAGAAAGGGAUGGAUGUGGAUGACUCGCCCUGAAAUGGAAGACUCCAUCAAGUCAUGACACAAUGCAGGAUGGACUGAGCAAAUCAUAGGCUGUGUUUGUCAUAGAAUCAUUAAGGCUGGAAAAGACCUUCAAGAUCACCAAGUCCAACCUCAGCCCACCCCACCAUGCCCAUCACCACGUCCCUCAGUGCCACAUCUCCAUGGUUCUGGAGCACCUCCAGGGAUGGUGAUCCCACCACCACUCCCUGGGCAGCCCCGUGCCAGUACACCAUCACUCUUCCUGAGAAGUUUUCCCCAGUAUCCAACCUGAACCUAUGCUGGCACUUGAGGCCAUUCCUCUCAUCCUGUUGCUUCUUGCCUCCAACCUGGAUAAAGAACCAAUGGUCCCAUUACCCACUGCCAUUUUGGAUGGUCCUGUGUGGGGCCAGGAGCUGGACUCAAUGAUCCUCAUGGGUCCCUUCCAGCUCGGGAUAUUCUAUGGUUCUAUGAUUCUACCCUGUAGAGAUUAAGGUGCUUCCUGAAUAACAGGCAUCGCUCUGCCUGAGCAAAGAGGACGACAACAGAAAGUUUCAGCUACAGAAAUGAUCACAGCCACUGUUUCCAAAUCAUGGCUGAAGGAGUUUAAAAUAACAACAAAGAAUAGAAAACUGCUUUUGAGAGACAAAGUAAGUUUCUCUACAGAACUAACAGACAUGAAAUCGUAAUUUUCUUCAUUAACUCAUCUUGCUGUAGAUGAAAUGGGGUUUCAGAGGGAAUUCAGAAAUCAUUUCUUCCACAUGAAGAGUUUGUACACUUAAUUUGUUGCAGUAAACCACCAUUCUGCAUGCUGAGGACCUCUGUGUUAGCAGAUGAUGAAACAGCAUCUGCCUUAACUGUUCUUUUCUCCAUUUAACUGGUAAAGUAUUUCCAUCUCAGUGAUGAGAUGAAAAACACAGAGGAGAAAAUCACAGAAGAAAAGAAAUUCACAGUUUUCUAGCCAGAGCAUUCAAGUGGAAUAGCUAAUAUUGCCAGCUUCAGCACAAAGCAAAAUAAUGGGGAAUAUUUUUACACAACUUAUUACAAUGAACAGAUGCAGCACGAGCAUUUCGAAGGCACGCGUUGCAUGCAAGCAGGAUUUCAAAGCAACGUAAGGGACUUACAGAUUCAGAGAUAUAUCUUUUUCAUUACCCCAAACACUACACUUGUCUUCAAUCUAAAAACAAACAUUGACAAUGGAAGAAUUUAUAGGCUCAGGAGUCUGAGAUGUGGCUCUGGUUUCAUAGAUGGGUGCUUGGAAGAAGGUAAUUUGAAACGAUAGACUCAUAAUUGUGCCCAGCGUUGGAGCUGCACACUGAUAGCGGAGGCUGCAGAAACUCCCUCCAACAACACAUCCGUGAGCCACAACCUGCCGAGAACAGGAAUGUGAGGUUGGUUUGAACUCACUCUUCAGGCUUCUGGGGCAGCACAAGGGGUGUUUACCACCUUGGUCUUUCUUUUCAAACAGUGCCCCAGGUACUGGGCUUUGACACCUCUCAAUCCAUGCAGAAUAUGGCUCUUUUCACUCAACUCUCACUAAAACAUUAAUAAAGAAUUUUUCCAACAGCUCCUUUCUUUUCACCUCCCUCCAACAUUUCUCAUCUAUUAUGCCCAGCAUCUUACAGCAUAUAAAAAUACAUCACUGAAUCUGAAGUGAAAUCUGAAGAGUUUUAAUUGCUCUGAGUCUUGGGAGGCCCCAGCCCCAUCCUCAACAGUGACGCAUUCAAGGAUUCAGCUCUUGGAUUAAUCCCAGGGCUCAGUGGAUGGAUCCAAGGAUGAAAUUUAAAGAAGAGGUUGGGAAUGAUGAUGUCACUGAUCCCAGAAACCCUUCUGGUGAGGAGGAUCUGGCAGUGGGCUCUCCCUACAAAUACACAGGGGUUUUAUGGCAUUCAGUCCCAUGUUUGAUCUGCCAUCGCUCCUUUGUGGCACUGAGGUUAUGGGCAUGGGGUAGAGGGGUUGAUAGUUGGACUCUGUGAUCUUAGUGGCCUUUUCCAGCCUUCACGAUUCUAUGAUUCAUUGCUGUUGCACUGUGUGCAAAGGAGCUGCGGACCAAAAUUAUCAGAAAUAACUUAAUUAUUGUGCCAAGGCCUUCGGAGCUCAGAAAAUGGAUGACUGCAGAGCAUAAUUCUUUUCCUUGCAAUAUUUUGGCAGGGUGUUGAACACAGAAAAGGCACUGUUCCAACAACGAUCAGAAGGGGCAACUGCUAUCCACUAUUUAUUCUCUGUGGUUAACACAAUAUUUUGAGCACAACCAUUGAGCAGCAAGCUCUCUUGGCACUGCAGGUGCUGUUUAGAUCUUCUCCCUUGUGUGUGUAACACAUGGAACUGGAGAACCAGCACUUACCAGUGUUCACAUAUCAAAGACAUUACAUAAAGAAGCAGCGAACAGGAACGUGGGGAGGCCUGACCGAAUUGCUGCUCUUUUUUGGGAGCUUUCAAAGCUUUUGUCUGCCUCACCAUACGUUAUCUUGUUGGGAAAUGGUGUCUUCGUACCACUCUCUGUAGGAGUGGAUUUCGUCCCCGUAAGUAACUAGCCAUAGAUAUCAGGCAAAGUGGACGUGCAGGUUUAUAGCUUCAUUACCCGCUUUAGCAUCUAUCAGUACUGCAAGGAGAAAUCACAGAGGGAGAUAUUUGUACGUCUGCAAAUGGCCAAGAAAGCUGAAAUCUACAGUAGUCGGAAUCUUUCGCUGCUGUUAGCAAAAUGCAGUUAAAAGCAGUUUACUGAGCAUACUUAUCUGAUGGCUGUUUGUAAUUUCCAAGCCCUGUGCUGGCUGUGCCCCACACACUGCUCAGCAGCCACCUCGGAGCUCUGAGCCUUUUCUCAGUAAGGAGGAAUCAGAACAAACCGAUUUGUUUCAUAGCGCACUACAAUCCUUGCCCGGAUCAAACUGCAUCUGCACACGAGGGUUGCUGGAGUUACAGAAAGCACAGUAUAGUGCCAGGGAAGAAAAUAAGUCCCUGGGAGGAAGCUACAGAAGUGAUCUUGUUGGGAAGAGCUGAGCAGUGUGGAUAAUGAGGGUCCUCCCAAAAUGCCAGGGGCUGAGCAGGGCUCGCAGGUUGCUGCUGGUGCAGUUCAGCCACCUCUUGCCAUUUAAAUGCUAUCACAACUCCUAUAACUUUCAAAAUAAUAGAAAAAAAAGUAAUGAGCAGUACAUUAAAAUGAAACAUUGCUUGUUCUGGGAAAGCAACUAACCGAAAUACAAAGGACCUUUGCAGUGUCACAGAGAUUUUCCUGACAUCAUAAUGGCUGGUGGGAAGGGCUUGUGUUUGUCUGUGCUCUGCUGCCAGCCUAAUCGGAUCAGCACUGCUAAUACAGUUGAUUUCCCUCUUGCUGACUUUGGGUGUAUAGAUGUGUGUGCAGCUCAGACCAGGGGAGAAAGAAGAAAAUAUUUGCCCCUCCUCUGCUUUUGGCAGCUUUUGGGAGGGGGAUGGCAUCAACUGUAGGAAAUCUAUGUACUGACCAAGAUGCACAGAGGCACAAGAGAAGGGAGGCAAGCCCCAUGUGGACACACUGCCCUGUAUCGCCUGUGCACGAAAUUCCCAGCAUGGUUGAUGCUUUUAGCUUAUUUUAUUUUCUUAAAACACUGCUAAGACUCGUUUUAUCAAGUACCAUUUGCUGGUCUAAUAAAAUAUUGUCAUGUCUCAUGAAGGAAAGCCAGCUGCUCAGCAGAUGAAGCUGUCCAGCAGAGUGCUGGUGACAGCGCUGCAGAUGCGCUUCGAUGCAAUCAAUUUAGGAUAACAAUGCUGAGCAAAGGAGCAGAUGUGCCAGUCUCCUGGCUUGGCUUUGGAUGCUGCAACUGAUGGCAGCUUCUCUAGUCCUGGUCCCCUCCACAUUUAGCAGUGAGUUUUGCCUGCAGCCAGGCUGAGAGUUAACUUGGGUAAGCAGCAGCCACUCCUCCUUCCUCACCUAUGCUGAUUUUCUUUGAGUGUUCCUAAGUGCCUUUUCAAACCAAAUAUAACUUAGCUGGCCCACUGCUUUCUGACAAAUAUCUUUCCUAGCUUUAUUUAUCAUACAGCCAUAAAUAGUUCACUCAACGCUGCACCUAUAGAGCCUGCUUAAAGAUUUUUUUUCUACCAACUGUAUUUCAUCUUGCAGAAAGUGGAAUAUUUACAGUGUUUGUCACCAUUCAGGUAACAUGUGUCAGUUGGCUGCUCGGAACCCAUCACGUAAAGGAGGAAAAGCCCAACAGAAAUGCAACUGGAUACAAUAAAUACUGUGCUUGUGAGUUUGGGCAUUCAGACACACUGUGAGUCAACUUUGAAAAAGCAACUGAACAGAACACAUCACCUUUGCAUUCUCACCUAGUGAGGGCUCCUAAUGCCAUGACAUGCCCACACACAGCGCUGCCCCUCAACAGGUGGGGUGCACUUUGUCCCCCCAAAGGCAUGGAUGUGGAUUGCACACAGAGAAACUUAAGCACAGCACCUCCAAAUUGCACUGUGCUCAAAGGAGCCCAAGCAUGCAUGACUCUUGCUGGGGUCAGAAACACCAGCAGGACCUCGUGCCUCUAUCUCUCUGCAGAUUUCUGCUGCAGCUCCAUUGUUCAGCAAUGUGGUCUCUUAGCACACUUUCCCUUUUUCCACACUCGUUCACUCAGGCAGACAGCCAACUAUAAAGCAUUCGCUGAACUCAUCCACAACACCUUGGUAACAACUGAAGCUGACCCCUGAGAACAGGGAAUCACCAACACCAUUAAGGAGAUUUCACGUGCUUCGUUGUCAUUUCUGAGGAUGAAGCUGAGCUGCCUGUUCAGAUGGGUACUAUGAUGGGGUCACACAUAGUCCUGCAGUCACUCUUCCCCGAUAACGUGACAAUGUCACAUCCAUGCAAUCAAAGAUUAUGUUGCCUUUUGUGAUGUCUUACCCUGGUCCAAGCACAACAAGAAAAAAAGUUGCCUGUUUUGCACAUCACUGGCUAUUAGGCUAUGUCUGGUUACAUCACAUCAGUUGACACGACAUAAAACAAUGUAAGCAGAUCAGAUGUGACAUAAAUGUCACGUUGCAUCAGGUUUUAAAGAAAUUGGCAGCUAUUACACGACGGAUGAAAAAUGCCAAGAGACGCUCAGCCAUCAUACAGGUAGACCUUCAAGAUAAAGUGAUGUUACCUACCAAACAUAGCCCACAGCUUUGUAUUCUAGUCAUAGAUUCAUGCAGGUUGGAAAAGACCUCUAAGAUCAUCCAGUCUGAUCGUUCACCCACCACCAACAUUGCUCACUGCACCAUGUCUCUCAGUGCCACAUCUACACAUUGCUUGAACACCUCCAGGAACGGUGACCCCACCACCUCCCUGGGCAGCUGUGCCACUGCAUCACCACUCCUUUGGCAAAGAAAUUUUCCCUAACAUCCAACCUGAACCUCCCCUGGUGCAACCUGAGGCCAUUCCCUCUCAUCCCAUCAAAAUGACACAUUAUCAGCUUAUGAAAUGAUCACUUUUACUCUCUGUUAUGCUCCUAUUCCUCUCAAGAAGACGCAGACGUGGUGACCAUUAUCCCUUAUAAAGCACCCAUAAGCAGCAAAUUCACCGACCGAAAAAUAGACAAAACAUGGAGUCUGACUCAAAAAAACACUGAAAUCAAUAACAGGCUAUCUAUUGACUCAAACAGGAAAUGGAUCAGCACCUCUAUGCCUCAGUAAAUAUUUUUACUAUACAACUAAUUUCCCAUUUGAAGGAAAAGCAUCAUUUUUUGUUGGUCAGUGGGAAUAAAGGAGCAAAACAAAUUUAUGUAACAGAGCAAACAGAUUACAAAAGAGAGGUAGCACUUACGUAAGGUAUCAGUGCUAAUGCCAGGCUUGCUUUUAUCAACGUUAUCUUCAUUUUCCACUCAAACAGAAGAGAGUAAAUGAGAGAGCAAGCCUGAUGUUUGCAGCAGCAGUAGUGACAUGGCUUAUGUACGUGCUCCUCCUACCCACUGCUGGCAGAGCAAACGUGGUGCCUGGGCAUCACAGAGCCCUCUGGACACUGAACACUUUCUCACCCUGCUUCUGGAGCGAAAACAGCUUAGGAACCUCUGCAAAAACAGAAAAUGGGCAGCAUCAGUAUUGCCUGCAUGACUUGCACAGCACCUGCACACUGCACGGAGCUGCAGCAGCAAGGGGAGGGCACGACAUACCUGAGGGAGUCUGCUCUCCAAAAUGCAUCUCCUGGAUGAUUUUCUUACACACUGUUUUUCCCUCCUCACGUAGCAUGUGUACACCAGAAACGAUUUCAAUGAUGAAUCAGGCAGCUUACCUGUGGACUAAGACUCCAACUGUAAAGUGAUUCAUCUUAAAACCAGUUUAUAAAUGAGAAACAGACAUCUCGAGGCUGGUAACCUUUCAGAAACACCAUGGUGACAGAUUCUGCCUGACAGAUUUGAUAUGAAUUCUGCCCAUUGUAUAAAUAUUGAUAGCUCUGACGCUUAGCAUUGCAGACUUAAUCUUCUCAGGUGUAUUUGCAGCAAUAGAGCCUGACCCAGCACGGGAAAGAUGCAGUGCAGUGCUCAAGGUGUUAUUUAGAGUCAUUAGUCCUUGACAGGAAAAAGUUAAUUGACAAGCAUUCACAAACGUUGCAUACUUGAACAUCUCAGAGGAAUUGCCCAAUUAAUAUACUGUCAAACAAGCUGAUUUGGGAUCAUUAAGAACCUCUGGCACGGCGAAGGCACACAGGCAGAGCAGGAGGAGUGCGGUCACGUCACUCUCAUUGUGAUGGGGAAAAUGAAGCACCCUGGCAUCCCUGCUGUCAGGUUGGACAUUAGGAAAAGCUUCUCUGAAAGAGUGGUGAGGCAUUGGCACAGGCUGCUCAGGGCGGGGGUGGAGUCACCAUCCCUGGAGGUGUCCAGAAACCAUGGAGAUGUGGCAGUGAGAGAUAUGGCUUCAUGGGCAGUCAUGGUGGUAGGUGGACGAUUGAACUAGAGGACCUUAGAGGUCUUUUCCAACCUUAGCGAUUCAAUGAUUCACAUUUCCUAUUGACGCCCUGGAGAGCCCUGUGAGCAGGGCAAGAAGGAAGCAGAGAAGAGCAGGAUUUAAGGUGGAGUGUUCAUAAUGAGGUCUUCCGAGCAGCUCUCAAUGAAAGUCUGCAUCAGUAGAGGCUCAGAGCCCAUCUCCACCAGCCAAAGGCAGACUUUACAGCUCCUUUUGUUCAACGUCUAAGUUAACUGUGCAAAAGAUGUACAAUACUGAGAAAGAGCCAAUUGUACUGAAACUAUGAAGGAUUAAGGAGGCAAGGUGGGAUAAGUAUAUUAAAAAAUAUGUACCUCGGUUGGCUUUGUUUUGUUCUUCUUCUGAACAGCUCCUCUUUGUGCCUUCUGCCUGUGUGGACAAAUUUUGGACAAUUUAGCUGAUGAACAGUCAUUCCCACUUUUAAAAUAAAACAAUUUUACAACUAAUUGUUAAUGAGCUGCCUUGUAAUUUUUCUAUUUUGAGCCAGAGCCGCUUUGAGUCAGGCCUGCCAAACC